UUGUAUACUUUUUAUUUAAAAAGAAAUUUGUUUUGAGUCAUAGGUGGUGAUUGCUGGAGAUUGCUACAAUAUUUUUUGUUGCUUGUCAAGCCAUUUGUCAAAAUUUGGCCAGUUGAUGGUCUUUCAAUGCGCACAUUCCAUUCAUACUUCAGCCACUGAGAAAUGUUAUGUCAGGCUAAGUUUGUAGUGGAUAAUGAAGGAAAAUGCUUUUAAAUGUAUAUUUGCCUGUCUAAAGCAAUCUGGAAGGCACAAGUGGAGAAUAGUGGAUGUAGCUUUGUAUUAGUCUUUGAUGAAAAAGCAAUAGUACCAUGAAAGAUUUGUAUUUCUAAUACCAUUAGGAUAUAUGAGAAUGCCAUUGAUUUAUUAAUAGAAAUUCUUGGCAGUUUUUUCUCCAUUGCAUAUUCAUUUAUUAAUUGAGAAAAAGUGAGGAUAGCUUCAAAGUUGGUACGAAACAGCUGCCAUAGCCGAACAUUUGAAAUGUGUACAAAAAGAUACACAACAAAUAAGUUGGGAAACCCAUCCAUCAUUUUUAUUGCAAUGUUUAGUGGUCUAUUUUCGUUUCUAUUUAUCAAGACACCGAAAAGACCAAUGUUUCAUUUUCUUCUUCCCAUAAUUAUCAUAUGGCUGUACUGAUGCUCGGUUCAUUUAUCAUGCAGUUCAUACAUGUUUAUGCACCCAAGUAUGAAACAGCUGGGAAAUUUUGGCCUAUUGUGCACAAUUCGACGAUAUUCUCUCUGGUACUUAUGCAUGCAAUUGCAGUGGGUAUUUUUACAUUGAAGAAGCUGUCUAUGGCAUCAACCUUAGUUUUUCCUCUUCCCAUCCUCACUCUUCUCUUUAAUGAGUACUGCAGAAAAAGAUUCCUACCCAUAUUUACUGCUUAUCCUGCUGAGGUUUUGGUAAAGAGAGACAAGGAAGAUCAUAAUGAUGUCAAAAUGGCAGAGUUUUAUGAUACCCUGGCCACUGCCUACCAGGAUCCAGCUCUGUUACCAAUUCAGUAUUCUGCAAACAGAGACAGUCUAAGCAGUCCUCUUAUAUCUUCUGCUUGAUUUUAAGGCACAGUGGUCAUCCAAUUCCGAAUCAGUUGAAAUGAGGAAGAAAUAAGCAUGGCACCACCAUCUAGGCCUCCAACGACUGCGGCUUUUUCACAAGCUGAAGAAGGCCUGUGUUGUGGUAGAUUUCAGCAUUUAGAGUCUUCAGAAAGCAGCUAUCAUUCCUAAGUCAAAUAUGUCUAGGCUUGGCAUAUAUAAAUUUCGAUUUUAUUUUUUUUACAUCACUAGAUUGAUGUAGUUUGUAAUUAAUGCAAAGAAAGCUUUUAGUCUGGUUGUAUAGUUGAAGUCCAAGGAAAGAUAAUAGUUGCUCUUUUCUUUUCCUGUCUCUGCUGACCUCCUGAUAUCCUCAGAUACUCUUAAUAAUCUGCGGCACCUACAUGUAUAAUAUAUGCCUAUCCAAUAUCAUUCCAGUACA